GUUGCCUUUCCUCUCCAGUUUGUAGCAAAAGGUAGACCUUUUGUUAUCCAGGUUCUCUCCCAGUCCCCUUCCAAGGAACACAGUGCUUUGUGGCCAGUUUUUUCAUUCCUAUCAACACAGGGAGAAGGAGAGAUAGAGAGAGGGUAAGACACCACAGCAUCAAAGGAACCCCAGUGCCUUGAUACCUCCAUGUGGUGUAGGGACUCAAACUUGUACUGCAUACACAGCAAAGGCAUGCUCUCUACUUGAUGGCAUCAAACAGCAAGUUGAAAACAUGAUGCAUCUAGGGAUUACCACAAGGCAGCAUUGUUUUGAAGAAAAAAUAUUUGAAGAAAAAAUAUGGUGCAUAAUUGAAGGAAAUCACAUAAAGAUGAAAAGAAAAUAGAAAAGCAAAUAAAAUAUCUGUUCUUAGUGAUCUGGAACCAAAAUGCCUUUGGCCUUUUCCUCUAAACAUUCACAUUUAAGAAAGGACUGGUCUGAUUUAUAAUAGUGUACUAAAUGUCUCUUUGUUAGAAAACAAAAGAAGUAAAAUUCUUUAAAUUCUGAACCUAAAUUUUAGAGCUGGGUAUUAUCUUCCAAUUAUAUUCUACAUGUUUUUAUUUCUUGUAAGAAUAAAAUAAAUAAGGAUUGAGAUUAAAGCAUGAAUCCCAAUUUAAAGAAUUCAUAGUGGUUCAAUUUUAAUGAUGAAUUCCUUAUUUAUCUUGAAUAGUAGAGGCCAUUCUUACU